GAUUGAACGCUGGCGGCAGGCCUAACACAUGCAAGUCGAACGGUAACAGAAAGAAGCUUGCUUCUUUGCUGACGAGUGGCGGACGGGUGAGUAAUGUCUGGGAAACUGCCUGAUGGAGGGGGAUAACUACUGGAAACGGUAGCUAAUACCGCAUAACGUCGCAAGACCAAAGAGGGGGACCUUCGGGCCUCUUGCCAUCGGAUGUGCCCAGAUGGGAUUAGCUUGUUGGUGGGGUAACGGCUCACCAAGGCGACGAUCCCUAGCUGGUCUGAGAGGAUGACCAGCCACACUGGAACUGAGACACGGUCCAGACUCCUACGGGAGGCAGCAGUGGGGAAUAUUGCACAAUGGGCGCAAGCCUGAUGCAGCCAUGCCGCGUGUAUGAAGAAGGCCUUCGGGUUGUAAA
rnacentral:rRNA from 1 species